GCAAUGUGUACUUUCAAAGAUUUCAGACCAUAUCUUGUCUCUUUCCCAGAGAAUUCUGAUGUAUCCAGAUGGAUCCAAGAUGACCAUAUCAUCCUGAUAUUUCUUGCUGUUAUAGCCUGCAUUCUCAGCCUUUUUGCCAUUGUGUUCCUCUUUUGGUACUGUUCAGGAUUCCAUUCAAAAGAUCCUGAAAGAGGUAAAGUUUGGGCUAGAGCAAAGUAAAGUUUGAUAAUUGUACAUGCCUUUGUUAAUACUUUUUUGGGUGUCUGAGUGUGUGUUCAGUGCAAGUGUUCAAAGAAGUGAGGAGUAAAACUAUAAUUUCACAGCUGCUGUAAAUAAUGAGUUAAACAGUGUAUGAGACAUUUUGCAAGUAUUGCAUAUGGCUGAGACUCAUCCUAUAGAGGUAAGAUUUAAACUGAUACUAUUUUCAUAUUGUUUAAACUAUCUAGGGUGUGUGGUCUGGAACUGGGAUAGGAGAUGAAGAAGAUUAAGCAGCGCAGUCCCCCUUCCAGAUCUUGGAUGCAUCAUCUGUGAUCAUGGCAUCUGCACAGAGCUAGUGUGGGAGGUUUCAAGUCCUCAUUAAAAAAGCUACAGUGGGAUCCAGCUUGACCUAAUUUCACACUGAAAUGGCCGUGCCCCUCCCUGUAAUUAAUCCAGGGACAAAUCCAGUGGCUCUAACACCUAGUUUCACUGCAGACAUWGUGGUAUAUCCUUCCUGGUCUCCAGACCUAUUGUCUUCAGAAGAUAGUAGGUUAUGUGUCAUAUGUGCCAUCUUGGAGGAUGCCUCCAAUACCCUAGUACAUCUCAGUGGUGGUACACUCCACAGCUUGGGCAAGUGAAUCCUGCUCCAAUCAACACAGUCAGUGAAAACUUGAGAGUAAUUCUGCUCAUCUUAGAGGAGACAUUUGCAGCUGGUCACCCAAACAGUGCUUCACACUGUGCUGUCUGUGUUCAUUAGAUCACUUUCAACUGUACUAGGUGCUUAAAUAUCUUUUAUUUUUUUGUGCACCUACAUGUAGACAUCCUAGCUGAGAAUCACAAUUUACCUCAAGAUUACAGUGGUUAAAUUUUGGCAUACACGUACCAGUGUCUAUGUAUGGCUGAGGUGUCUAAACCCCUGUUAUCACCAAUGUUUGGGACUCAUUUGCACAGAUAAGAGUAUGUGAGUGCCAUUUCAGAUAUCCUAAGAUACCCUGCUUGCCUCCCAUGUAGCACCACGUGG
rnacentral:lncRNA from 1 species